rnacentral:rRNA from 1 species
UCGCUACUACCGAUUGAAUGGCUUAGUGAGCUCUCUGGACUGUUGCCAGCCUUGGCAACUUGGUUGGUUUACGGGAAGGAGAUCAAACUUGAUCAUUUAGAGGAAGUAA